rnacentral:rRNA from 1 species
UACGUAGGGGGCAAGCGUUGUCCGGAAUCACUGGGCGUAAAGGGUGCGUAGGUGGCAUGGUAAGUUUGAUGUGAAAGCUCAGGGCUCAACCCUGAAAUGGCAUUGAAUACUACUGUGCUGGAGGUUUGGAGGGGGGACUGGAAUUCUCGGUGUAGCAGUGAAAUGCGUAGAUAUCGAGAGGAACACCAGUGGCGAAGGCGAGUCCCUGGACAACACCUGACACUGAGGCACGAAAGCUAGGGGAGCAAACAGG